GCUGCGAAGUCCCUCGUCGGUUUUCCUUCUCCGGUGGCCAAAACCCUUGUCGUCUCCACUCCUCUCUUUCGUUCUCUGACUCUCUCUCUCUCUCUCUCUCUCUCUCUCUCUCUCUCUCCCUCCCCCCCUUCCUCUCCCCCUGAGGAUAGUGUUAGGGCUUCGGGCAUCGAAGGGGGAAGAUAUGGUGGCGGACAAGGGGAAGAAGUCGAAGGUAGCAGAGAGAGGGGAGGAGCAGGAUUCCGAUCACGUUGACGGAGAGCUCGUGCUGUCCAUCGAGAAGCUUCAGGAGCUUCAAGACGAGCUCGAGAAGAUUAAUGAGGAAGCCAGUGAUAAAGUUUUGGAGGUGGAACAGAAAUAUAAUGAGGUUCGCAGACCUGUCUACAUUAGACGGAAUGAGAUCAUCCAAUCCAUUCCAGAUUUUUGGUUAACUGCGUUCCUGAGUCAUCCUGCUCUUAGCGAUCUUCUUACUGAGGAAGACCAAAAGAUUUUCAAGUACUUGGCUUCGUUGGAUGUUGAAGAUUGCAAGGAUGUGAAGUCAGGCUACUCCAUUGUAUUUAACUUCUCUCCUAACCCAUAUUUUGAGGACACAAAGCUUGUGAAGACAUAUUCCUUCACUGAGGAAGGAACUACUAAUAUAACCGGUACAACUAUCAAGUGGAAGGAGGGAAUGGAUAUUGCCAAUGGUAAUGGUCACGAGAAGAAGGGAAGCAAGCGACCCCUUACCGAGGAAAGUUUCUUUAGUUGGUUUGGUGAAACUGAACUGAAAAACUUCUCAGAUGGAGUAACAGAUGAGGUGGCAGAGAUAAUCAAGGAAGAUUUAUGGCCCAACCCUUUGAAAUAUUUUAAUAAUGCAAGUGUUCUCCCUUCUGUCUGUUACUCCUUUCUUUUGUCAAAUAUUAAUAUUUCUUCUCAUGGAUCAUCAGUUCUGAGUUCACCUCAGACUCUUCUGCACUUUUUGAUAAUCUGAUGAUGCAGGAGGCUGAUGAGGAGGAUUUUGAUGGAGAUGAAGAUGAUGAAGAGAAGGGAUCUGAAGAUGAUGAGGAUGGCGACCAAGAUGAUGAUGAAGAGGAGGAUGAUGAUGACAGUUAAUCUCUUAUAGCUUCUUUCAUUUUGGUUUCCACCACUUGGCUGUGGCAAGUGCAAGGCAAAGCUUAUGACUAUUGAAAGGCUCUCGACUUCAAGUGGGCUGAUUUUUACUCAUGCUUUAAGCUUUGUGGUUGGCAAUUUUUGUACUUGGACUUUCAUGAGCCUUAGUUAUAGCUGGUGGCUUACCUAAAGCUAGAAGUUUAUUUGUUUAUGUGGGUAUUAAAUGUUGACUUGGACUUGAAGCAUGCCGGUAUCAAGAAUCUAGGACUUUGUAUGGGCAGCUGCUGCAUCAUUUUUUUGAACCUGUUUAGUUUUACAUCAAUUUAAUGUGAUAUCUUUUGUUCGGGCUUUUA